rnacentral:rRNA from 1 species
UACGUAGGGUGCAAGCGUUGUCCGGAAUUAUUGGGCGUAAAGAGCUCGUAGGCGGUCUGUCGCGUCUGCUGUGAAAACUCAGGGCUUAACCCUGAGCUUGCAGUGGGUACGGGCAGACUAGAGUGCGGUAGGGGAGACUGGAAUUCCUGGUGUAGCGGUGAAAUGCGCAGAUAUCAGGAGGAACACCGGUGGCGAAGGCGGGUCUCUGGGCCGUAACUGACGUUGAGGAGCGAAAGCAUGGGGAGCGAACAGG